UAUGUAGGGUGCAAGCGUUGUCCGGAAUUAUUGGGCGUAAAGAGCUCGUAGGCGGUGUGUCGCGUCGGCCGUGAAAACCUGCAGCUUAACUGUGGGCUUGCGGUCGAUACGGGCAUCACUGGAGUUCGGCAGGGGAGACUGGAAUUCCUGGUGUAGCGGUGAAAUGCACAGAUAUCAGGAGGAACACCGGUGGCGAAGGCGGGUCUCUGGGCCGAUACUGACGCUGAGGAGCGAAAGCGUGGGGAGCGAACAGG
rnacentral:rRNA from 1 species